rnacentral:misc_RNA from 1 species
UGGUAGAGCGUGGCCGGCUUGCCGGUCGUCGCGACACCCCCUGCGUACCCACCUGGUUGCUUCGGCGGGCCGCCUGUCGGCCGCCGCCCUCGGGCGGCGUGCGCCCGCCGGAAGACCCCAAACCCUGGCUUUUGCGGUGACGUCUGAGCCUAACACAAAUAAGUUA